GACGAACGCUGGCGGCGUGCUUAACACAUGCAAGUCGAACGAAGUGGCGAACGGGUGAGUAACGCGUAAUCAACCUGCCAUUCAGAGGGGGACAACAGUUGGAAACGACUGCUAAUACCGCAUACUGAAGGAGGGGAUUGCGUCUGAUUAGCUAGUUGGAGGGGUAACGGCCCACCAAGGCGAUGAUCAGUAGCCCGUCUUGUAGGAGGAACGGGCCCAUUGGGAAUGGAACACGGCCCAGACUCCUACGGGAGGCAGCAGUGGGGAAUCUUCCGGCAUGGACGAAAGUCUGACGGAGCAACGCCGCGUUAGGUAUGACGGCUUUCGGGUUGUAAAGCUCGUUUAAUCAGGACGCGGUACCGGAAUAGAAAGCCACGGCUAACUACGUGCCAGCAGCCGCGGUAAUUC
rnacentral:rRNA from 1 species